rnacentral:rRNA from 1 species
UGGAAGUACUUUAUACUGGGUAACCGUAGGAAUUUUAAAACUAAUACCUGCCUGAAAGUCCCACUUUUUGGAAACGCUGUAUUUUUUAGAUUAAAAACCAAUCCAGCUUGCUCCUUACCUUGGUGAUUCAUAAUAACUAAACGAAUCGUAUGACUUCAUGUCGACGAUGAUUCAUUCAAAUUUCUGCCCUAUCAACUUUCGAGGGUAAGGUUUUGGCUUACCAUGGUUACAACGGGUGACGGAAAAUUAGGGUUCGAUUCCGGAAAGGGAGCCUGAAAAACGGCUACCACUUCUACGGAGGGCAGCGGGCGCGCAAUUUACCCAAUCCGGACUCAGGGAGGAAGGGACAAAAAAUAACAAAACGGGACUUCCUUCUUUUUUUUGGAAUGAAAAAAAUUUAAACCCCCUUUCUGUCUCCCCCUUGGGGGGGAUGUCUGGGU